rnacentral:rRNA from 1 species
UACGUAGGGUGCAAGCGUUAAUCGGAAUUACUGGGCGUAAAGCGUGCGCAGGCGGUUAUGUAAGACAGGUGUGAAAUCCCCGGGCUUAACCUGGGAACUGCAUUUGUGACUGCAUAGCUAGAGUACGGUAGAGGGGAUGGAAUUCCGCGUGUAGCAGUGAAAUGCGUAGAUAUGCGGAGGAACACCGAUGGCGAAGGCGGCCCACUGGCUCGAUACUGACGCUGAGGUGCGAAAGCGUGGGAGCAAACAGG